AGGAAGAGAGAUGUAGAGGCAAGUUGCUUUUAACCAGGAUUGGAGUUUUGUCAGCUUUAUAAAAAGCUCAAUACUCAUGUGGCCUUAGUUGGUAUGGAAAUCUGGACUGACAAGGAUAAGAUAAAGAUAACCCCAAAUGCAAGCUUCACCUUGGAAAAUUUUUCUAAAUGGAGGGGGAGUGUUCUCUCAAGAAGAAAGCAUCAUGAUAUUGCUCAGUUAAUCACAGCAACAGAACUUGCUGGAACGACUGUGGGUCUUGCAUUUAUGUCUACAAUGUGUUCUCCUUAUCAUUCUGUUGGCAUUGUUCAGGACCACAGUGAUGAUCUUCUUAGAGUUGCAGGGACAAUGGCACAUGAAAUGGGCCACAACUUUGGAAUGUUUCAUGACGACUAUUCUUGCAAGUGUCCUUCUACAAUAUGUGUGAUGGACAAAGCACUGAGCUUCUAUAUACCCACAGACUUCAGUUCCUGCAGCCGUCUCAGCUAUGACAAGUUUUUUGAAGAUAAAUUAUCAAAUUGCCUCUUUAAUGCUCCAUUGCCUACAGAUAUCAUAUCCACUCCAAUUUGUGGGAACCAGUUGGUGGAAAUGGGAGAGGACUGUGAUUGUGGGACAUCUGAGGAAUGUACCAAUAUUUGCUGU
rnacentral:sRNA from 1 species